GGGUAAUAUCGAUCNAGAAUGACUACUUGCGCAUACGUAUAAUAACUUGCGUUGGGUACCACUCGUGUGCCCUUCGCUCCCUGCCCGCCCCGGCCAUCGGCCUUGACGGGCAGCUGUACCAAAAAUCGGCACGGGAAGUGCCAAGGACAUUCAGAACGGGAUGCCUUUCCCGUGGGGUGGACCGUUCGCGGAAUCCUCCCCACGGGGCCAAAAAGGACUCCAAACAUAAUGUUACACGACUCUCGGCAACGGAUAUCUAGGCUCUCGCAUCGAUGAAGAACGUAGCAAAAUGCGAUACUUGGUGUGAAUUGCAGAAUCCCGUGAAUCAUCGAGUUUUUGAACGCAAGUUGCGCCCGAAGCCAUUAGGCCGAGGGCACGUCUGCCUGGGCGUCACGCAUCGCGUCGCCCCCCAUCCCCUCGGUCCCACGAGGUCCGUGGUAGAGCUUUGGGGGGCGGAAUUUGGCUUCCCGUACCUCGUUGCGGUGCGGCUAGCCUAAAAGUAUUGUUCCCUCGCCGCGCACUCUGCGACAAGUGGUGGUCGAUUUGAUUGAGCGCGAGUUGUUCGUAUGCCGCGUCGAGGAGAGCACUCGGACCCUUCGUGCACGAGUCCCUCCCGGAGGGGCAACUGUCCACGAACGCGACCCCAGGUCAGGC
rnacentral:rRNA from 1 species